CUUUGUUGUAGGCAGUUGUCGAGAAAACCAAAGUGAGCCCAAGGGAAAUUGGGGAUAUUAUUGUGGGUACAGUGUUGGCUCCGGGAUCUCAAAGAGCUAGUGAGUGUAGAAUGGCUGCCUUUUAUGCUGGCAUCCUUGAAACUGUGCCAAUUAGAACUGUGAACAGACAAUGUUCAUAUGGACUUCAGGCCAUUGAUGAUGUAGCUGCGUCUAUAAGGGCAGGAUUUUAUGAUAUUGGUCAGUCUUUGCCGAGGUCUUUGUUAUUGUCGCAUGAUUGAUUCAGUUCAGACAAGUACCCUUAUCAGUUUAACUUAUCCCGGAUUAUUUCAUGCAUGAAUUGGAGCUGGGUUGGAAUCUAUGGCUGCAAAUCCAAUGGCAUGGGAAGGAUCAGUUAACCCUAAUGUGAAGAUGUUUGAACAAGCCCAAAAUUGCCUUCUUCCUAUGGGAAUCACCCCUCAGAAAAUGUCUCGCAUCAAUUUGGAGUUUCACGGAAGGAGCAAGAUCAGGCAGCAGUUAGUUGAAUAAAUCUUUCUGUUUGGUAUUGUACUCUAGUUUUUCAAUGUUUAGUGGACUUUUUUGGGAAUUGUUAUUGGC